rnacentral:lncRNA from 1 species
CCUCUGCAGACCUUUUGUCAGUAAACAUUGAUACCUCUACAGACCUUUUGUCAGUAAACAUUGAUACCUCUACGGAUAGCUUCCACUUACUUCUAAACGAUCAUAUACCACUAACAUGAUUAAAUACUUUUUUUAUAGAAUAAACUUUAAAAGGUAUCUUGAUAUAUUUGUACACAUAAAAGAUAUCAAGAUACCUGAUUAAUUGUAUCGCAAUUUGUCCCAGUGUGAUUAAUCUUUGUCUUGUGGAGGAUUUCAAUUUCUAAAUGUUAUGUUUCCACAGUUCAUAUGCGUGUAUACUUUUAAGUUGUCCGUGGUUAUCCUUCUACUCAUUUUUUUUCUUUUUUUAUUCGACGGAACAUUUUAUCUUUCUUCGUUAUUUUUCCUUAUACAGCUUUCUUUUCGUUUUCCCGUCUUAAUAGUUCCCUAUUCAAGAAUCACUUGUUGGUCGUGUGUUUAAAGAUGUGUGUCGUACAAAACAGUUUUGUAAAGGUCACUGAACUGGUUACUGUUUAAAAAGGUUAUGACAUUUAUAUUCUCACACAGCAUUAUUCUUUUAAACAAUUAAUCUUAUUUUUUAUAGUUGUGAUUAUGUUUAACAUUGUUAAUAUACUUUUUUUAUUUUUUGGAGCAUUUUUAAAAAUGGGUAGGUUGUGUCAACGGCAAAACUACAGUUUAUUUACAGUGUUUAAUACUCUGGCAACAUUUAUGUUGUAUGGACGAACUCAUUUCUGUGCGUGUUCGAUUCUGUUUUCAUGUUUUUGAUAGCCAGUUUUACUGCAGAAGGACGAUGGUUUUCUUCAAGUACAUUCAUUCCAGCU